rnacentral:rRNA from 1 species
AUGCACGCUGGCGGCGUGCCUCAUCCAUGCAAGUCGCGCGAACAGACGAGGAGCUUGCUCCUCUGACGUUAGCGGCGGACGGGUGAGUAACACGUGGAUAACCUACCUAUAAGACUGGGAUAACUUCGGGAAACCGGAGCUAAUACCGGAUAAUAUAUUGAACCGCAUGGUUCAAUAGUGAAAGGCGGUUUUGCUGUCACUUAUAGAUGGAUCCGCGCCGCAUUAGCUAGUUGGUAAGGUAACGGCUUACCAAGGCAACGAUGCGUAGCCGACCUGAGAGGGUGAUCGGCCACACUGGAACUGAGACACGGUCCAGACUCCUACGGGAGGCAGCAGUAGGGAAUCUUCCGCAAUGGGCGAAAGCCUGACGGAGCAACGCCGCGUGAGUGAUGAAGGUCUUCGGAUCGUAAAACUCUGUUAUUAGGGAAGAACAAAUGUGUAAGUAACUAUGCACGUCUUGACGGUACCUAAUCAGAAAGCCACGGCUAACUACGUG